AUGUCGUCGUCUCAGGUUUCAAAGUUUUCAUCUCUGCCCGAUGAGUUGAGGGAUGGCUGUGGUGUUGAGGGUGCUGCGUUGGAGCGCGCUGAGCAUAUCUUAAGUAAUGUGUGUUCUGAGCUGCAAAAGGUCCCAACAACAGUUGAGCGUUUGAGCUGUAUCAAUGGUAUCCUUCCUGAAGAUCAUCAAUUUAACGCUGAGGAAGCUGUUGACUACAUUGAGAUGGAGAGAAUUUUAAUCGGUGAUAUGCGUGACGGUGCCGCUAAUCUAAUUCAGAGCUCGGUUCGUCUGUUGAACAACAUGAAGCGUUUCAGAACUACACAAAACUCUCGCUGCAAGCCAUAUGAAGAAAGUGCAAAUGUUGUUAUCAAGCAGUUUGAGCAGGAUGAGGCUGCUGCCACCGACAUCAGGGCUGGUGAUGGUACUGAGGCUAAUGUUUUUGAUCACGAAAUGAAUGAUGUUGGCUUUGAGCAUCCUGAUGUUGAUACUGAUCACGAUGAGGCUGCUGGCACCGACAGCAGGGCUGAUGAUGGUACUGAGGCUAAUGUUUCUGAUCAGCGUACGUACGAUGUUGGCUCGCAGCACCCUGUUGUUGAUGAGACCAGUCAUAAUGUUGAGGUUGCUGUUGACGGUGGAGUUAAUGAUCCACCCACUGAUAAGUGCAAGGGUCCUAUUGUUGGCGAUGAGCCUUGUUUGCCCGUUGGUGAUGUUGCUUUGAAUGUUAGCAGCAGCAAGAUCGAUGAUGUUGUUGUGAAUGCUUCCAAGAUUACUGAUGUUGAGCGUGAGGUUGUCCUUAGUGGUGGAGAUGAUGCUCGUGAUGUUCCAUUGAGUAGUGGGCGCAAUGUUGGUACCAAAGUUGCUGAUGAGGAUGCUGGUGCUGCCAGCAUACUUGAUGCCAAAUUGCCUGGUGUUGGUACUGCUGGGAAUGAAAAUGUUUCUGGUUGUGAAGAUUUGCCGCCGGAGAAUUUCCCGCCUGGAGGUCUUGAUUACGGUGAUGCAUUGCAAGAUGCUUCUAGCUUGGAGGAGGUGCCAUCCGAUGAUGAUGAUUUACUCCUGUCAAUUUCUUCUGACCCCUUGACGCAAGAGGCGCUAUUGUCGUCCCAGGAUUUUCUUUCUACAGACCCUGAAAGCGCAUCAAUAUUGGUGUCCUCUCAAGAUGUCCCAUCGUCAAACCCUGAAACUGGAGGCAUAAUGGUCUCAUCACAGGAACUAUCAUCGUCGUCAAACCCUGAUAGUUCAGAAAGUGGUAAUGUUGUUAAGGUUGAUACGUUUUUCUUUGCUGUUACGAGGUUGCGCGCGAACCGUACGAAAUGUCACAAGCCGAUGUUUCAAAAUAAAGAAUGUGUUGCCAGUGUUGGUUCUAUUGCUACAGCGUUUGUCCCCAUUGGCAUGCUCAACUCAGACAGUGCUGAUGUUGUUUUAUAUUCUCUACGUCAGAAGUACCGAGACACUGACAAGUUGAUAGUUCCCAGAUGGACCAAGAUCUGUGAUGGAAAUAUUGAUUCCAAUGUUCUAAAUUGGUUCACGAGAUCAGGUGCUGAUGGUUUUGACCAAUGGGGUGAUGCAGUUAGAUUCUUAAGGAAUAUGACAGAUAAUAUAAAGAAGCUUUGGAGGGAGUCCAGUGUAGACAGGGCCAAACCGUUCUCACCGGCCCAUAUUGAUGGUUUCUCUUGCGAGUUUGUGCGGGUGCCUCAGCAGGAAAACUCGCAUGAUUGUGGAUUCUUUAUGCUACAAAACUGCAAUACCUAUUAUUGUCGGGAGGAUGGUGUAAUUGAAGUGAGUGGCUGGAUCUUGGUGAGUAUGACUACAGGUUCUUUGGUAGCCAGUUCUCGGAGCUCGAGCGUGUAG
rnacentral:rRNA from 1 species